GUCAAGCUACCAUUUCAAAUCACCGAGAACGAAACAUGAGCCGCCAAGUUCUAUCUUCUAUCACUAGUGGACAAAGUUUUUACAAUAGCUUUAUUAUCACGACGCCUUUUGUCUUCGGUAGGCUAGGUUGCGUUCUCCCUGGAUGUCUUCUCUCGCAUUUGUAGAUUCGAAGUGGACUCAUACUUCUGUUCAGAACGUACGCCGGGGAAACGAGUCUGAAUUGAAAAGCUGCUGCUGUUUUAGUUUUUUCGAAAAAACACACUUUAACAAUUGGAUCGAAUCGGAGGGCGAAUCGGAUAAAACUUCAAUAUGGUGCGAAGGACGGGGCGAAGAGUGAACGUAUCACUACUAAGCAAGGAAAAUUUGCUGCGGCGCCAGCAGUGUUGCCUGCUAUUUGCCAUUUUGUUCAUUGUUGGUGGAAUUUCUAUGAUAAUUGUGGCCAUCGUACUUGGAACAUUUUAUCUCAUUGGACCUGGAACUACAUUAAUCGUAUGGAGUGUUCUAUGUGGAUGUGGAAGUUUUAGGUACUAUCAGUUGUACGUCAAUGCUUCAAGGGCGCCACAAACAAGUCACGCGGAGGCUCAAAGACAAACGCAGCUUCCUCAAGCAUACACAAAUGCAGGGUUAAAUCAAUACGGAGACAAUUCAUCCUCUUAUUUCGAUCCAAACGCUCCGGUGCCACCGCCAUAUGGAUACACCAGUCCUGGUACCAAUGCAGCACCUCCAACGUACGAAUCGGUCACAGGUUACACAAAUUGGAAAUAAAACUUUAUUGUCAGGUUCGAUAAUUUUCGAAGUUUAUUUAGAGUAAUUUAGGCCAUAGUCAUAUGUUUUCAAGAAUCAAAGCAUUUAUCUCGAAGCUAUAACUAGAUAGACACAUGAAUUUGUACUUUUUGUAUGUAAAAAUGGGCAUUAAAUAUUCUUCCACUUCAAUUUCAAGCUAUUUUGAAUGAAUAUCGUAGGCUACAUAAACUACUCAUUAUGUUACACUACGUGAGUGGUAGUGAAUUAAAUCGUAAGAUACCUGGCCUGAAGUAUUAAACAUAGAUAUAUUAAUGCGUUCACAAUUGGGCUCUUUCACUCUUUAUUGUUUAAAAGUAAAAUAGCUAGGUAGGCUUCCAGCCAUCGGCGAAGCGAAGCACUUUCACCCACUCCGGCUAUGAAUACUAAUAAAGUGUCUGUUAUCGUGAACAAUGAAAAUCAAUUCUGAAUACAUUGUCGCUCGCACAGCAAACGUUGACAGAAGUGUUUACCGCAAAAAAUUUGAUAUUCAGCUGUAUACUUUCAUCGUGCGUUUUGCAAUCUAAAUCUUUUGCAUUAUUCUUAUUAUAAAUUGUAUGUUUAUAUACAAUAUAUUGUAUUUUUAUUACUUUUUUAUUUAUUUUUAUUAAUAGGUAAGUUUGUAAAUAUAUAUAUAACUACGUCAGAGGUGACACGAGUUAUUGUUAGUUUUUAUCUCAGAUGACAAUAGGUACUAUUUACAAUAUUGUUUGUAGAAGGUAGAUCGCCAAACAAAGUCGAUUAUCAUGAAUGCGGUAAGUGUUUUCACACUCUGUACUUCUUGAUGUGAUGGAUGUAAUAGUGAUAUAGCCUACAUAAUUGCAAGCAGUCGACAUUAAUUUCUGAAAUUGAAAACUUGGAAAUAGUAUUUGGCGUAAAAUACCGACAAAACGGAGUGUUGGGGUAUAAAAAGAAGGUGCAGUACCAAGCGAUAUUAUGGUAGAAGUUGAGUUACUUCAUGGACUACGCAGCAAAGCGGUAACUCCCCGGGAACUUGAGAAACGGGAACAAUAUUGUAUUGGUUUCGGAAUUGCUCUCGCUGCUAUUGGAACAAUCACGAUAAUAGUAGGAGCCGCAACGUAUUUGUAUGCUCUUAUUGGGCCGGGAGUCAUCGCAUUUGCAUUUGGUGUAUCCAGUAUUGUUAUCUGUGGACGGCGAUUGCGCCGAAAUAACAAGUCACGGCAAUAUCACCUCCCUGUGACACGCAAUGACAGGGACACUUUGGAUGUGGUUUCCCACAAUUCUGAUCUUGAACGCGAAAUAUUGUAAAAGAAUGGAUAUAUAUAGGUUAAUCUAGUUUGUCACUUAGGGGUGAAUAGAACAGAGUUACGAUGAUUCGCACGAUAUCCACACAAAUACCAACGCGAUAACUUUUGUAGUGGAUGAGUUGGAAAUCAAUCUGGAGUCAAAUUAGUUAACUCGAUACCACGUCACGGGAUCAACGAACCUAGG